rnacentral:rRNA from 1 species
GACGGACGCUGGCGGCGUGCUUAACACAUGCAAGUCGAACGGAAAGGCCCUGCUUUUGUGGGGUGCUCGAGUGGCGAACGGGUGAGUAACACGUGAGUAACCUGCCCUUGACUUUGGGAUAACUUCAGGAAACUGGGGCUAAUACCGGAUAGGAGCUCCUGCUGCAUGGUGGGGGUUGGAAAGUUUCGGCGGUUGGGGAUGGACUCGCGGCUUAUCAGCUUGUUGGUGGGGUAGUGGCUUACCAAGGCUUUGACGGGUAGCCGGCCUGAGAGGGUGACCGGCCACAUUGGGACUGAGAUACGGCCCAGACUCCUACGGGAGGCAGCAGUGGGGAAUAUUGCACAAUGGGCGGAAGCCUGAUGCAGCAACGCCGCGUGCGGGAUGACGGCCUUCGGGCUGUAAACCGCUUUCGCCUGUGACGAAGCGUGAGUGACGGUAAUGGGUAAAGAAGCACCGGCUAACUACGUG